GAUAAGGAAACGUUGCAUGCACAAGCCACCAAUGGGAAGUGGUGUUAAUACAAAGAAAGGAAAUUGCAUGGCAUGACAUGUGAUUAAAAAAAUAAAAAGAGAAAAAGGUUGGGCAGUCCAAAAAUGCAUGAGAAAAUGGGAAAUGAAAGCCAUUUCAAGGCUUUUGCCUUGAGCGAUUUACCCAUAACAAAGUAAAAGAGAAAGAAAGAAAGGAGAAAGAAGAAAAGAGAAAGGAGAAAGAAGAAAGAGUUGAGUGAAAAGGCAAACUAAGUGAGGGUUCGGUUUUGUGGGAUUUUAGAGCACGCGUACUUCUAGGGAUUCAUCCUUUAUUGAGAGAUAUGGGUUACCUUUUAUGGUAGCUAAGAAAUAUCAAGAGAAAAAGAACAUGGAUAAUGGUAAGUAGAACUUUGAUUUUGGUUACAGAUUUCUUGAGGAAAUGAGUUGGUAAUUGUGUGAGAAUGUUUGUUGCAGCAAAGGUCCUCCAAGAUUUGAAAGAAAUAGAUGCAUGCAUGUGGGUUGAUCUAAGAAGUAUGGUGAUUUUGAGCAAGACAAGUAAUGGCAAUGGUGACCAAGGAUGUGAGGAGAUUGUGAACUAUAUGUUGAAUCCAAGCUAAAGACCGAAAGGAAGCAUGUAAAUGAGGAAGGUUUGCCGUGGUGGCGUAUUAGAGGAGAUAACGGGUGAUUGGCAAGUAGAAUUAGCUAGAGACGCAUCCGAACCGAUAGCGACGUAGUGUCCCACUAUUAUAAGAUAAGUGAUCGACCUAGUGUGCAUUCAUUGGCACAUAUUGUCCACCACGGAUAGGUAAAGACAUCACACAACACUUUAUU